rnacentral:lncRNA from 1 species
AGAACAGAGCAGUUUGAAUGUAUACCAGGUGGCUUCUUUUGUGGUGUUCCCUUAUGAAUAUUUACAUUGAAAUAUUGAUCCUAAGAACAUGAGACAGUAGUACCUUAUGUGACAUCUGUGUCUUCUGUUUCCCAGGUGUUGCACAGAAAGAUGGAAAGUUGUCUCCUUUCAGCUCAGCGGCUGGAAAAAAAAAACAACCAAAAAAACCCAACGACCACAAGGAAAUCAAUAAACACCUGUUAUUCCCAGAUCCGUAGUUACUUGGACUCAAAGGUGCCUGCAGGCAAAGUUAAAACAAAACCCCCGUGUCAAUUGAUGGUUAAGAUAACAGCUAUGUAAACCCAAAGAAUCCUGUUUGUUAGAGGAGUAUGAUCCGAAGCGAAGUAGAGAAUUCCCUUAUGACGGUCCUUAGACAUGGCUCAGCCAGCAGUCCCGGAGGCAGGCAGUGUUGGAGAGCCGUGCUGGAAGGGAGCAAACCGUGGCAGCGGUGGGCAUGGUGCACAGGUAACACACCUGGGCACAAUGUGCAUGUAACACCAGUGUGAACCUUGUCUCCUGGCCUCACUCGCAUUGUGAACUCAGCAGUGAUGUUUUAACUGCUUUAUUUUUAUUUCAGCAAUACUGUGCUACCACAAGAAACAGGGCUUCUGAAUAACUUGGUGUCUUACCCCGUUUUGUUUGCACUGGGCUAACAGCAAAGAUGUGGUCAUCGCUGUUUGCCAGCAAAGCAGUUUGCCAGCAGCCCCUGUGGUGAGCUGCCUGAGCACUGCACGCCUGCCAUCCCUGGCAGCAGACACGUGCCAAACCUACUCCAGGAUAUCAUCAAGGAGAUGGUCAGGAAAACCAGCAGUUCUGCAAUUUUAAAGAGAGUAAGAAACAGCGGUAGUCGAUUACAUCAUGUAAUUUUGCCUCUGUUGCUCUCUGGGUAGUGUCACUGCUGCGGCCAUCUGCCGUCAUUUCCUUCCCCCUUCCUUCUGCGUUGCACCAGACAUGAUGGAGUGCUGGCUUGGGCGUGGGAGGAGGGCAGAGGCACAGCUGGAGCUCUAAAACAUGAAAUAGUUAUCCCUUUUCCCCAUUGCUCAGCUCCUUCCUGGCCCUGUGGGUGCCCUCGCUCCUGGGGUGGCUCUGCUUGAGCCCACCUCCCCGGUGCUUGGCAAGCUGCUCCGAGCCUGAGGAGCACCAAAGCCAUGGGGUUGUGUCCCCCUGGGGAUGGAGUGAGCACCCCGCUAAUAGCUGUGGCAGUUCACCAGCCAAGGGAAACCCCUUCACUGGGGUGGCACUGAGGCUUGAUUAGAAGAAAACGAGUAAAGGAUUUUGUGUUGUUUUGGACUUUGGCAGAAGUUUAUUCUCAGUUUUGCUGCAGAUCCCCUUUUUAGCAAUUGCUUUUACAGUAUGUUGUCUGUAUUGUACAGGAAUGAAUGAAGUGGGCUAGGAGGGACUGUGCUGUUUUUUUCAUAGUC